AUCUUUCUUGCUUCAGACACAUCUCGAAACACAGAGCUUCACCGUUUGUCGUUUCGUAAUCUCUCAAUCUCCAGCAAACUCUACAUCUCCCCAUCUUCAAUAACUUUUCAUUAAUGGCCCUGUUUCGUAUCAUCUCCGUUAACCCUUCUUAUAUAAACUUCAUCAUAGAUCGAGGAAAUAUGCAUCUCAAAAAACGGCUCGAUAUGAUUCCUCUACCAGGUUUUCUUUACAGCAUCUCAUCGAAAAUCUCUCUCAGCUUCUCCAGUUGCUCAAACCGGAGCAGUGCAUCUCAUAUCAAGUCAAAGCUUUAUUGAACCGGCGCAGAUUUCAACCCAUCAUUGACAAUGUCCUCCUCCGCUGCUAGCAUGAUAUUGUUGCUCACACAGUCGUCUCCAAUCUCUGCCUUGUCUGAUUUCUCAGUUCAUUGUUUGCUGUAUCAUCCGCUUUUAGGAUUCAAAGACCAUCAAGAAGAAUGGUGAAUUCGUGGGUAUCAUCACCCUCCUCCUAACCUUUUUUUUUUUUAAAUCUGCAAAGUAACAUAUAAUAAAGCUUUAAGGGAUCUUUGACGGAUAUUUGCAUUUCGGGGAAACAAACUUCUGCUUCACAUAAUAAAGCUGAUCACUCCGUGUAAAACCUCGACCGAUGGAGGCGAAGAUCGAGACGUUGAGUUUCACUCUAGAGAAUCAACCUGAGUUUCAGCGAGUUAUCACAUUUAUAUUGAAUGAACACUUUGUCAAGAAAACAAGCCGGGCGGCGACUGAACCAGUGAACCGUUCGAUAUCACCGGAGAGGCAGAUCAAAUAAUGUAGCUCUACCAUCUGCAUCACAAGAGACUUGUGGUAGAUUAGAUGUGGAAGGCAUGGACCUUCAAAGAAACUGAUUACAGUUGUGGUGGCUAACACUAAACCUCAUUUGGGUAUCACCGUGUGUCUACGUCGGUGGUCAUACGAGUCCUCACUGCGGCAGAUCGGCUUCAGAAAGGUCUGGGGCAGAUUGUUAUUCAAGAGGCAGUGGAGAGUGAUUAUGGUGUUGACUCGGCUGUAAGAGUGAGGGUCCAUAUCUGAGUUGUUUCACUCUCUUAGGCCACCAGAGCAACAAUUCAAGGAAUAGAGGUCAAGCGUGAUUAAGGGAAUGGAAACUCUCUUUAGUUGUUGGGCUGAGGGGAUAGAACUGAUACAGUGGAAAGAAACAUAUUUAGGAAGGAGCAAAGUAUCCGCUGUAUUGUCACUUAUGAACUCAUUGCAGGCUCAAACCAAACAUGGAGUGUUGAAACCAUAAUAAGGUUAUUUAAGUCUAUGAUGGAUUCUGAAACUUCUCAAGACUACUGCUUUUUGAGAACACGCUCUACACCAAAGCAAGAAAAGAGGAAGCGGAUUGCAGAGGUGAAGAUGAAAUCAUAAUUACCUUGAGGACAAGGUUUUUCAAGUGGGAAGUAACGAUAAGUUUGGUAAAUUGGCUGUCACGAACAAAAUUUCGAAGCCAAAUUAAAUUUGAAACUUUUAUGCAAGUAACGAGAGUUUUUCUUUUCCGACGGUAACAAGAGUAUUUGUAUUGAAAACUGUAUCAAAAAACAAAUUUUCUUAAUC